UUACAUAUAUUGGCCAGAAAUGGAAAGAAAAGAACAAUGAAAUUUGUGGAAAGGGAAAGAAAAAUACAAGUGAAAUUUAUGCUUUUAUAGUGUACUCUAACUUAGGGCUGAGGAUGUUUUUAUAAUUAUGCUCUGAUUUCAUUAAGAUUAUAAAAAUGGAAACCUUCAGAGAAAAGUGACAUGGCUUGAAAGGAAAAGAGCAGCAUAGAGAAGUGAAACAGAGGAUAGCCUGCCAAACCAGAUCCAAGGCUUUGAAGAAAUAGCAAAGCUUUACAUGGAUAAACAGCAGGAUAUAUAAGAACAUCUUUAGUAGAGCGAGGUAAUUUUUUUUUUUUUUCUUUUUAGGGCCGCACCUUAGGCAUAUGGAAGUUCCCAGGCUAGGGGUCUACUUGGAGCUACAGCUGCCAGCCUAUGCCAUAGCCACAGCAAUGAGGGAUCCGAGCCACAUUCUAUGACCUACACCACAGUUUACGGCAACACCGGAUCCCCAACCCACUGAGCGAGGCCAGGAAUCAAACCCGAGACCUCAUGGAUACUAGUCAGAUUUGUUUCUGCUGUGCCACAACAGGAACUCCCGAGCGAAAUAAUUUUUUAUAAUUAUGUUGUACAGCUGUGAGUACUUCUACCCUUUUUAGCAACAUACUCUGCUUCUUCUGGUAACUUCCAUGUUUCUUGAAGGAAAGGGAUCAGUAUUUAGUAACCUGAGACAUGUAAAUAGCCCACAGUAGAGAUUUAGACUUGAAGAAAGCUGAGAAGUGAACAAAGUGCAUUUUAUGACAAAAUUUACAUGCUUCAUUCUCUAUUACCUAAGACUGAACAUAUUUCAGCUCAGCAGUUAGCUAGGUUUAACAAAUAUGCAUGUCUCUGAGUGUUUCAGGAUGGUGAAUAACAGUUACUUAAAUGGACAGGGCUUCUUGCCAUAAAUUCUUCAACAGUCUCCUUGCUUAGUGUGGAAUUAGACAAUACAAAAUAUGAAAACUAUCAAGGAGGAAGCAACAUCGUUUGAAUAUCUCUGGAUAUAUACUGGAUAUAAAUUAUGGAUUAGUUUAGAAAUAUUUGCAGGUAAGAAUAUAUACACUUAUGUCUGUAGAGACUGAAUAUCCUGGGGGCAGUCUAGAAGUGAGAUUUGAAGACAGUUUCUCCUUUAAAAAGUUAAUAGUACAUUUUUUUUAAAAUUUUUUCCCGCUGUACAGCAUGGGGAUCAAGUUACUCCUACAUGUAUACAUUUUUCCCCCCUCCCUUUGUUCUGUUGCAACAUGAGUAUCUAGACAAAGUUCUCAAUGCUACUCAGCAGGAUCUCCUUGUAAAUCUAUUCUAAAUUGUGUCUGAUAAGCCCAAGCUCCCGAUCCCUCCCACUCCCUCCCCCUCCCAUCAGGCAGCCACAAGUCUUUUCUCCAAGUCCAUGAUUUUCAUUUCUGUGGAAACGUUCAUUUGUGCUGGAUAUUAGAUUCCAGUUAUAAGUGAUAUCACAUGGUAUUUGUCUUUGUCUUUCUGACUCAUUUCACUCAGUAUGAGAGUCUCUAGUUCCAUCUUCAUUGCAGCACUAUUCACAAUAGCCAGGACAUGGAAACAACCCAAAUGUCCAUCAACAGAUAAUAGUUCAUUUAAUUUAAAAAAAUCAUUAAAUUGUUCUUGUAUCCUCCUCUUAGUUGAAGUAAACCCACGUCUUAAAUUAUUUAUGUGCUAUCCUAAAAAAUAUAAUUUGUAUAGUUAUAAGAGGGAAAACAAGAGUCUGGAGUGAAGGAAAAGUAAAAUCUAAGACACUCUGGUGAAGAUAAAAUAGCACAGUGGAAGGGUCAAGGAGAUAAAUGCUGAAGUCACUGGGAAAUGGUACAAAGGGUUUACUUCACAGGUUCUGAAGGAUCCUUUGGGGUCAUACACCAACUAGAAAAUUGUAUAACAAAGAUCAGACUGGGGACAGAAAUCUCUGAAAAUCAUGUAAAAUGAUGAAAAACAAAUAUUCCUUCAAUCAUUCAUUCAUUAAGUUGUUGAUUCAUUCAAUUAAUGGUGGUGGGUCCUUCUACAUGUCAGAGUCUGUGUUUGACACCAGACAUGGAAAAAUGUACAAUGAGAACAAAUAGUUGCAUGAGAAAUUGUGUUUGAGAAAAUAGCAUUUGCCACAAUUGUGCUGCAUGGAUGUCAGGUUUUAAAAAAGCUGGACAUACUGAAAUUUGGGCAUUUUCAUGAGACCAAACCAUGUAAUUAUGACAGCUUAACCUGGGGCAAUAAAGGUAGGAAAUGAUUUUUAAUACUCUAAGAAGACAGAUUCUCCUUAGAGAAAGAAGGAACUAAGGACUGAGGAUGAGAAAUGUGCAUCCUCUAAGUAGAUAUAAGAAUAUGAAGAAACUCAAGAGUGUGACUCUGAAAAGAUCACAUUUAAUGAGGAAGGAAAUGUUAGUUGGCGUUUUCCAAAACCACUUUUAGUAUACCUACUUAAUAAUAUUUUCUAUUUUUCCUCUUCGACAGAAACAUGCUUUAUCUUAUCUGACUACAUUUAGCUGUAUGCUUAUUUUUAAACACAGGGCAAUAUCAUAGCAUGGUGAAUUUCAUAACACUGUAUAUUUUUUCUUUGAAAUAAAAUGCAUUCACUGAAGCAAAAUUUGAGUAUGGCACUCACGUUCAGUGUUUCCUAUACUACUCUAGUUGGGUGAAAUUGAAUACAGGCAAAUAUACUCAUGAAUUUUGGUUAAAUGUAAAUUUUUUAAUUAAGAGUAAUUAUAUGUAAAAAACGAUAUACUUAAAAUAACAUUCCACAGUAUGUGUAACAUUUUGCUUGACAAAAGCAGAUAAAAUAAUAAUAUUCAGAUUAACAGGUCAUUAAUCUUAACCUUAUAAGAAAACAAACUAUUUCAAAGACAGUUGAACUUAAUAUGUGAUAAACCUAAUAAAGUUGAAAUAUUAGCAAUGUAAUUGUCCUCAUUUUAAAUUCAGGUCAAGUUUAUAGUGUAAGGAGAGAGCAAACAAGGAGAACAUUAACUUCAUAAAAGCUAAAAGCAGGAUGAUUGUUUUUGCUUGGCAGACAGUGAAGCACAUUAGGCAAAGGUUCAAACUGUAGAACCAGCAUAUACUAUCCCUGGGACAAAUGAGUUUUCUCAUUUUGGGACAGGGGUUGUUCAGUGAAGAAGUGAUGAUACAGUUAAUGCACUUAAGCCAGUGUCUGGAACAGAAUAAAUGCUAAUUAAAUGUUAUUAUUGGAGAUCCUGUUGUGGCUCAACAGAAACAAUUCUGACUAGCAUCCAUGAAGACGGAGGUUCAAUCCCUGGCCUUGCUCAGUGGUUAAGGAUCUGAGGUUGCCAUGAGCUAUGGUGUAGGUUACAGAUGCGGCUUGGAUCUGGCAUUGCGGUGGCUGUGGUACAGGCCGGCAGCUACAGCUCCAAUUAGACUCCUAGCCUGGGAACCUCCAUAUGCCGCAGGUACAGUCCUAAAAAGACUAAAUAAUUACAUAAAUAAAUGUAUGUUAUUUAUUGUUGUUGCUGCUUUAUUAUUAUUAGUUCAUCAGAGAAGAAUAUAAGAAAGCAUAAAAGAAAGGAUACUCUGUGGUGUGUGAUUUAUUACAAAGAUUUUAAAGCACUAACUUUGAGUCAAAUACUAGUUACAUAAUCUGAAACAAUUUACUUGUCUUCUCUCAGCCUUAGUUUCACAGGUUGUAUUUUACCCACCCAUCAACAGUUGAGUUGACUUAGCAUACUCUAAUAGUAGGUGAAAAUUUUUCUUAUGUUAAAUAAAGAAUUAUUAUAAAUGAUUCUCAAGGGUGCUAAUUAGAUAUUACUAAGUUUCUAAAUAGAGAGCAUAAGUGCCAAACUUUGCUAAAUUUCUUCCUGUCAGCCAAUACUGCAGCUGGCCUUAAGUGGUAUCUGCUUAUAUGGUGUGAUAUUAGUAUUGCCAAAAAUGUCCAUAUAUAUACACACACAUAUAUACAUACAUAUAUAUACACACGCUUUUUUUUUUUUUUUAAUGGCUGUGCCUCAAGUGUAUGGAAGUUCCCAGGCUAAGGGCCUAAUUAGAGUUGCAGCUGCAGGCCUGCGCCACAGCCACAGAAACACUGGAUCCAAGCCAUGUCUGCAAGCCACAGCUUGUGGUAACGCCAGAUAUAUAACCCACUGAGCAAGGUGAGGGUUUGAACUCUCAUCCUCACAGAGACUAUGUUGGGUUUUUAACCUGUUGAGCCACACCGUGGGCUCCCACAAUACCUUUGUAUAAAUCUACUUCCCUGCCAAGUUUCAAUAACUCUUAAAACAUCCAUCUUUCCCCUGAAUUAAACACAGAUAGUUUCAGAGGAAAGCAAGUUGGUUAGCUGAUUUGAACAAUGCAAUAAACAAACAUAAAAUCUAGAAAGAACCUUAGGGAUUGAGACCAAAGGCUAGUAAAAGGUAAUAGAGUCAAACUUGUAAUUUCAGAAGCACACAACUAGCAGGAAUUCUGGGAUCCUGGUGAAUACAGUCUCUUGAACCCCAUUUGCUUGAGUAUUUGUUAAAGUUCAAAUACUGCAUUUAUGCACUAGAAUAAGUUGCCAAGAGUCCUUUGGAGCGUAGUUCUGUCCAAGCUCUGGAAUCUGCUCCCUAAAGAAAGGAAAGUGCCCGUAGGACUGAUAAAUGUUAAGAAUUCAUAAGAUGAUGAAUCCCUUUUAGUUAGAAUGUUAAAGGAAAGGCAACCUAAAGGAGCUAGUAUUGUUAGUAAGGCUUAGAGAAUGAGUAGUACAUUUAUAUGUAAACUUGGAGAUGAUUAUAAAUUCAGGGAAAGUGGAUGACAAAACAAAUUCUCAGAGUAUGGAAUUUUCCAAAAUAACUGGGACACUGAACCUUUGGAAAAUUUGGGGAGUUGGGAUAGGCUUGUGUCUGUGAUUUUUUGCAGCAUUCACUGAGUAGUAGGGAGUCAUGGGAACUUUUUAUGUGGAAGUAGAACAUAAAAAUAUUUCUUUGUAAAGUUAAUAUAACAGUCUAAUACCAGAGAAAAACUGUUUUGGGUUUAUGGAAUCGAUUUGGUGGAUUUUGUCAGUAGUCUAGCUAUAAAAUCACAAGGUCAUGGACAAGAAUGGUGAGGAUGAAUAUGGACCAACAGGGGCAGAGGCAAAAAAAAAAAAAGAAGUACAUUUGGUACGACGUAUAUACCAGGCCACCCUACAAAUACUACCCCAAUCAUGAAGACUCUCAACAUGAUUACUCACACCAAGUUCAUUUUACUUUCACAUACAUUAAAUAAUUCAUAAACUAGACUGAGGAUACAAAUACGAGUGUAAAUAUUUCCUCAAGGUUUUCACAGUUUCUCAAAGGUCCACCAUCUUGGGUGUUAAUGUAACCCAUGCUGAGUUAGAUCAAGUCUACUGUGUGGAAACGUGUGUAUGAGGGGAACUUUUUGCUCUUUAAACCACUGUCCAGAGUUGAGGCCAGGUAAACAUGCACAUACAAAAUCUUGCAUAUUUGUGAUUACUACAGAGAGUAGAAAGUUAAACCAUUUCUUCAACAUGAAGACAACAGAUGAGGCAUGGGAAUUAAAAGGCUCAGGGAGGGAGUUCCCAAAGUGCCUCAGCGGAAACAAAUCUGACUAGCAUCCAUGAGGAUGCAGGUUCGAUCCCUGGCAUCACACAGUGGGUUAAGGAUCCUGCAUUGUCAUGAACUGUGGUGUAGGUCACAGAGGUGGCUCGGAUCCCUUGGUGCUGUGGCUGUGCUGUAGGUAGGCAGCUACAGCUCUGAUUCAACUCCUAGUCUGGGAACCUCCAUAUGUUAUUGGUAUGGCCCUAAAAAGUCAAAAAAAUAAAAAAAAAA
rnacentral:lncRNA from 1 species